rnacentral:rRNA from 1 species
UACGAAGGGGGCUAGCGUUGUUCGGAAUUACUGGGCGUAAAGCGCGCGCAGGCGGUUUUCCAAGUCAGUGGUGAAAGCCCGGAGCUCAACUCCGGAAAUGCCAUUGAAACUGCAAAACUUGAGUACGAGAGAGGUGAGUGGAAUUCCCAGUGUAGAGGUGAAAUUCGUAGAUAUUGGGAAGAACACCGGUGGCGAAGGCGGCUCACUGGCUCGUAACUGACGCUCAGGCGCGAUAGCGUGGGGAUCAAACAGG